UUUAGAUAACUAACAAUAACUAAAAAAAGAUGUUAGUUAUUAUAUAGAUUAUAGCCAUAUGCUUAUUUAUUAUAAUUGAGUUACAGUAAGUUAAACAAUAUAAACUGUUAAGUUCCAGGUAAUAGGUCUUAUAUGAUAUGUAUCUUAUGUAUAUCUUGUAUUUUGCAGCAUGUUAAAGAAUAUUUCUGCAUGGUGCACUCUGACUGUUGACAAUAUUUGCAUAUUGAUAUGAGUAAAAGUGACUUCAACAACCAGAAUGUGUUUUUGAUAAAUAUUAAUAAUAACAGUAACUAAAGGAAUGUUAUCAAUUUAUUAUAUGAAUCAUAAGCAUGUGCUUAUCUAUUACAAGUACCUUUGAUGGUAAAAAUUACUUUUUUUUGUCUGAAGAGAGUUGGAAGAAAUGGUGAGAGUUUUAAAACAUAUUAAAAUUAAUGUAUGUGUUACCAAUAAAAUUUAAAACUAACAGUUAAACUUAAUUUUUUACAGUUCAUAUUGAAACGAGAUAUUGUGUAAAGAGGUUUUUAAAGAAGUCGUUUUAACAACAAUGGAAAAGCUUCCGAUUCCCGAGUUAAACGUGAAAGCAUUUGAAACAUGAUUAAAGAAUCGUUCAAAAGUUUGCUUAAUUUUGACAGUGUAAUUUUAAUUACUAUUUUUUUUUUGAAAUAAACCAAUCAAUUUAUAUAUAAA